CCCUCUCUCUCCAUCAUUCAACCCACAUUCAUCUCUCUCGUCUCCACUCACUUCCUCCGCACCCAAAACCCUAGCCGCCGCUGAUUUUCAAAGAAAAACCACAAAUCACCGACGAUUGAGGCUGCGAAAACGAAUCCCCCGACUUCUACUCAUCAAUCUAGGGUCGAGUUUUGAUUAUAGGCGCAAGCAGAAGUCUAUGGUUGUUUAAAACCCCGAAAUCUGAUGGGCCAUCAUGAUUCGAGAAACUCUCCAAUGCUGAAAGAUAUAGAGAAUGACAAGGAGAAGCAUACGCGCAAGAGGAAAUAUUGAAAUUUUUUAGUUUGUUUUCCAGAUAUAUUGUUUUUACUUGCUUUAAGACGUACAUUAUUUAGUAGUCAAGUAUUACAUUGUUUUGAAGUUAUCCUACUUUAUAAUUUUAUCCCUACUA